UACGGAGGAUGCGAGCGUUAUCCGGAUUUAUUGGGUUUAAAGGGUGCGUGGCGGAUUUUUAAGUCAGCGGUAAAAUGUCCGGGCUCAACCCGGGCCGGCCGUUGAAACUGGGGAUCUUGAGUGGGCGAGAAGUAUGCAGAAUGCGUGGUGUAGCGGUGAAAUGCAUAGAUAUCACGCAGAACUCCGAUUGCGAAGGCAGCAUACCGGCGCCCGACUGACGCUGAGGCACGAAAGCGUGGGGAUCGAACAGG
rnacentral:rRNA from 1 species